CAACAACGAAGAGUUUGAUCCUGGCUCAGGAUGAACGCUAGCGGCAGGCUUAACACAUGCAAGUCGAGGGGUAA
rnacentral:rRNA from 1 species